AUUGGGUCUGAGUGCAGUGGUGCUUCUAACAAAUUGGUUACAACUAGUUACAGAUGUCAUUGUUCAUUCCCCACUCCCACUGUUCUGCUUGACUAGCCUU
rnacentral:Y_RNA from 1 species